AUAUGUAUAUAUAUAUUUUUUUUUACAAAACCGCAUCUGUGAAUGCGCGCGUAAAUUCAGACAAAAACCUCAAUCAAAAGGUGCUCUCUGUUUUCUUUUCGAAAACCCAACACAACCUAUUGGCAACAUUAUAGAUAGGCAUGAGCAAAAGUCAUAACGGCAACACUAUUUUUGCUGAGCACAUGCAUUUAUUAAUAGUUCUGCCCCAUGGAUACUUCAAUGUAUCUUUCGAACUCUUACCAAUCGCUCUUAACAAAUGAGUAAUGCAGAGAGUUGUAUAUAGAUAUUAUUAGUAGAGAGGAGAACAUGAGAGAGCCAGUCUAUAUACUGAUAAAUAUAAGGAGAGUACAAAAAUUAGCGCAUUCAAAUAAAAUGGUGGCAUAAUGCUAAUCGAAUAGAGCGAGAUAGCAUGUUAUGAGGAGAGCACACACAGGGUAUGGCGAUUAACGAAAGAAACGAGGCUAAAAAAAAAAGGUAAAGUGAAACGAAACGAGUCGCAGGCAGUAAAAAAAAUAUAUACACACAAUUAUAUAUACAUAUGUAUGUAUAUAAGAUGGUAUACCAGUCGUUUUAGCUUUUGCAUUAUACUGUACUUUGUUAUAUGGAUGGAAAAAUUCUGUGUAAACUAUACAUGUAGCGGAGGAGGGGAACAACGAAAGCGGACAAAUUGUUAAUAAAUUUGCUUAUUACAGUAUUGCUGUUGCUCGUGCUAUAAUUGCAAAAUUCACAUAUUAGAAUGUAUAUAUACGUAUAUGUAUGUGAAUAUUUGUAGCUCUAAUCGAUAGUAUGUAGAGGGCAAAAGGAAGACAGGGAAUACCGUGUAUACUAGACAAGCUGCAAUGGAGAGGGCAGAUGUGCGGACAAAUGCACGAAUGAUGAAGCAAAACGUUACGCAAUUUAAAUAAGUUUACUACAUUUUGCGCGUCUCGUUAAUAAAAUUUGAUGAGUCACAGAGGCAGCUAUUUACAAACACAAGAAAAUAGUGUAUUAUUUAUUUUAUUAGUAUCAUUUUAUUAAUGAAUACAAAAAGGCUUUUGCAAAAUUAAGCUAUAGCCACGCGGUUUUAUUUUUUAUAUUUACAUGUUUAUAUACUCAUUGUUAUAAAUACAGUUUUUUAGGAUUUUGCAAUAUUAAAGGCACUACUUUUACGUUUAACUGACAUUAGUUAACGCAUACGGUCUACAUAUCAGGUAGUAGCAUAGAAUUUUUUAUUGUUGCUUUUGUAAUUGUUAGAACAUAUGUAUUUCAUAUGCCAUAUUUCUUUUGCAAUUGAUUUCAAUGAAUUGGAAUUACGCGACUCCGCUGAAUUAGCAUCAAUUCGAGUUUAUAAUUAAGACUUUGUACAGAACUUCAAUCAAUUCCUACAUUUAACUGAAUUUUACCAAAUGUUAACUCACUAAAAUAAAACUGUCGAAUUAGAAUUCCCAUUUGCCUGGAGGCAAUAGAAGAGCAAUUUUUCCAGUGGAUGUAUGCAAGAUUUCUAUCUCAGAAAGCAAAAUAUAAAUUUAUAUUAUUUGUAUAAUUGCCACAACAAAUCUUUUCAAAUCCUCAAUUAAAAAAAGACAAAAAAUCUGUAGGUUUUUAAAUCGCCGUAAAAACAAAUGUUAUUAGCUUCGUGACUUGCGAACGCAAAUUUUAUUUAUGUUAUUUGAAUUUCCGCCACUAUAUUAAUUAAAUAUUUAGGGAACACGGCAUAGUGUAUAUAGUAUAUUUCACGAUUCAUAAAAUCACCUUCAAUACCGCAUUGACGUUAUUACGUCAUUAGAUUUUUAUACACUUUAUUAAAGAUGGUAUGUCGUAUUUAUUUAAUUAUUAUUUAUAACACCGUUAUUUUAACUUUAUUUUAGAGUUUUCGGUACGUAACACAGUUGAUAUUUUAUUUUCAAACAUCCACAUUAUAUCCAUUUAGCAUUAAUUAAUUAUAUAUUGCGUUGAAUUUGUUAUAUAGUUUUCUUACACACCACACCGAAAUGUCAGAGCACAGCUACGUGGGGAAAUAUUGUAUAGGUACAUAUUUAUAACUUAUAAACAAACUACAAACCAAUAAACAUAAUCAAACAAAAAAUACUACAAAAGAAACUAAAAAAUUCUUUCAAACUAAAUAAAUAAUAAAUUACAAACAAAAAAAAAGUAUAAACAUGAAAAGUUGGUGGCGAAUUAAUUGUUGUCAGCGCGAAAAACACACACCUUUCUCAUUAGCGCCAGUCGUUAAGUUGCAUUGAUCGAUUAAUUUGUAUUUACAUACAUUCAUAUAUGAAUAUGCAAAUAAUAUUUAACUAAUAAACACGAUAUCGUAUACAAGAUAUCAAACUGAUCUUAUACCAUCGCGUUGUUUCCAAGUCCUUCGAUACGUGUAGGUAAAAAAAUAUGAUAAGAAUAGCGAUUAUCUGCGACGCGAUUAGUAGAUGUGACGUUAUUGCUACUUUCAUUUACGCGAAACUUUGCGCGAUUCCACAAGCCCACCACUACCACCAGCUGAGAGCGUCAGCUAAACCGAAACCGAAAACCUGUCAAUUCAAUCAGCAAACCUCUAAAGUUUCUAAUAAGUGCAAAACUCAGCAAAUAAUACAACAUAAAAACACCUCAACCCAUAAAGUCAAAUAAUGCCAACGAAAACCGCAAACAGCGUAAAAAUCUCUACAUGUAGAUAUUCAUACACAUAUGUGUACGUAUAUAUUGUAAUUUUUCACAUGCGAAUUUUACGAUUUGUUCGGCGAUGUGCGUGCGCCGCGGUCGCUGCGCUGUCACGGCGCACCCCGUCUGAUCGCAAUAUUGCAAUCGCACAGUCAUAAAUGCAGUCAGAAAGGCAAGCAGACAGACAGACGCGUCUGUUGCAAAUAUGUAUAACCAUUUAACCGUCGUCUCGACAAAACGUAAACACUUUCCCCCCACCAAUGCCCCCUGUUUAACACACAUACUUCGGUUGGAUGUUGUCAUAUUGGUAUUGAUUGAUUUGUUACGGGGUAUUGUUUAUUUUAUAUUUUCUAUCAAAUCCUGUAAUUAGUAAUUGUAAUUGGCUAACUUUUAGUACAGAGUAAAUUUGGUUAACGAAAAAACGGUAUAAAACAUUUAUGGAGGUAUUUGAGGCUUACUUUAUUAUAAACAACAAAUGAACCUAUGUAUGUCCGAAUUUUGAUGGCUUCCUUAAUUACCGGGAACUAUAGCCCGGAAUAAUAAAUAACUAAAACUAGAUGCGCUUUCAGAGCAAUUACUUAGUUUUAAUUUAUUUAAUCAAGUUUUCUUUGCUUAAAUUAAAAUAAGCUUCUUUUCGUCAAAGGAAGCUAAUGUUAUGAAAGCCAUACUACGUUGUUGUAGACACUUCAUUGGACCCGCUGGUCCAUAAUGUUAAUUAAAAGCUAACAAUUUUAAAAUUUAAUUUUUUAAAACUACGCGGCUUUCAAACCCUGAUGUUUGGCUGUCAUAUUAACACAAAGUUGUGGACAAAACCAUAACGUGUAAAUAAACUUUGGCAACUAACUCCUACAUUAAAAA